CAUGCUGAAUAUACCGGUUUUCGUUAGAUCACCGAAGUCAAGCAUCAUUGGGUGGGCUCAGUACUUGGGUGGGUGACCACCUGGGAACACUGCGUGCCGUU
rnacentral:rRNA from 1 species